UGCAGUCGACGAUGACCACUUCGGUGGGGAUUAGUGGCGAACGGGUGAGUUACAURUGGGCAAUCUGCCCUUCACUCUGGGACAAGCCCUGGAAAMGGGGUCUAAUACCGGAUAACACUGCCACGGGCAUCUGUGGUGGUUAAAAGCUCCGGCGGUGAAGGAUGAKCCCGCGGCCUAUCAGCUUGUUGGUGAGGUAAUGGCUCACCAAGGCGACGACGGGUAGCCGGCCUGAGAGGGCGACCGGCCACACUGGGACUGAGACACGGCCCAGACUCCUACGGGAGGCAGCAGUGGGGAAUAUUGCACAAUGGGCGAAAGCCUGAUGCAGCGACGCCGCGUGAGGGAUGACGGCCUUCGGGUUGUAAACCUCUUUCAGCAGGGAAGAAGCGAAAGUGACGGUACCUGCAGAAGAAGCGCCGGCUAACUACGUGCCAGCAGCCGCGGUAAUACGUAGGGCGCAAGCGUUGUCCGGAAUUAUUGGGCGUAAAGAGCUCGUAGGCGGCUUGUCACGUCGGGUGUG
rnacentral:rRNA from 1 species